rnacentral:lncRNA from 1 species
GUAGGAGUCUGAACGAAGUCUGCCUGUAGUUGGAGUCAUGGGCAGAGUCCGGCUCCCGUAGGAGUCCGGAUGAAGUCUGCCUGCAGUUGGAGUCGUGGGUGGAGUCCGGCUCCCAUAGGAGUCCGGACGAAGUCUACCUGCAGCUAGAGUCAGGGAUGAGGUCCGGCCCCCGUAGGAGUCUGGGUAGAGUCUACCUGCAAUUAGAGUUAGGGGC